UGGUUGUUGGUUAAAAAAAAGCACAAGUGAGAUCAUUUUCUCUCAUUUCCCAUUUGAAGGACGACACAGUAGAAGGCAAAAGAUGUGUGGCGUAGAUGAAAAUGCAACUUCCUGUUAAGAAAGGGCCUUAACGCAAAGCUGAAGAGGAGAGUGUCUCUGACACUGCUCUGCUGUCUCUAGACCCCUAAAAACAGCUUAAGGAUUUUUUUUGAAGGUGAAAACUCUCCGGCAACUGAACCGACCGAUUAGACGCACGAGAACACGACAUAUGGUGUCUUAGAAACGGCUUUUGAACUCUUGGAUAUGGCGAGAUUUUUUACGCUAGGACCCUUGGUUUUGGUCCUAUGCUUGGUCUUAUACCCCCCAAACUCACAGACUGAAGGAGACAACAAACCAAAGACAGACCCCUCAAACUCACAGACUGAAGGAGACAACAAACCAAAGACAGGUGUCAGUGCUGACCAAUCAAAGAACACCACACCACCCACUGCUCACACCCCUACAUUACCUACCACUAAAGACCCCUCAAACUCACAGACUGAAGGAGACAACAAACCAAAGACAGGUGUCAGUGCUGACCAAUCAAAGAACGCCACACCUCCCACUGCUCACAUCCCUACAUUACCUACCACUAAAGGUAACCACGACAACACGCAUCACCACAGCACACACACACUCCAGCAUUAUACAGUAUCUCUCUCACACUCAUCACUCAUGACCUCUGACCUCCAUCCUCCCAUCAUGUACACUGUGAACUCUCCUUCAGAAUCACAUCUUCAGUGCUGCGCUCAUGAGCAGUGUUAUACUUUUAUAAUGUUGCUAAUCUUUAUUUAUAAGAAAGUGUUUCCUAUAAGAAUCCCAUAAUAACUGUUCUGCAGGUUGAUGUCUUCACAUGAUAAACAGAUAAGGGUCAAAAUAAUAUUGACCAACAGCCAAGGCAUUAUUUUUGAUGAAUGUUGCAAAUAAUACAAAUACUGAAUGGCAUUUCAUGUUGAGUUUAAAGUCUGUAAACAUAAGUUAUUUCAAAUGAAUAUGUGACCUCUAUCCUGUGACACAGUCUACAUUAGAACCAGUAAAGAAGCGCUUGGGUUACUUGUAGGUGAAUAGAUGUAGCUCGUCUUUCAAUAAUCAGUCAUAUUCAUUAGAUUCUGGAAACAUUCACAUUAUAGAAAAGUGUUUUUUAUAUAAUCUAUAACAAAGGUCAUUUUUAUUGAAUUAUAGGUAACUUCACAAAUAGAUCUAGAAAAAAAAAAAAAAAAAACAUUGAUUGUGAUGUUACUUGUGUGUAUUUACUGAAAUAGCUUUAUAAUAUAGAAAUAUUUAGCAGUAUCUAGUAGUCACACUUAGAAAGUUUGAUCCUUUAUUGUACAGACAUGUACAAUUUUUAUUGUAUUUUUUUUUUCCUCUGAGAACAGAGUUUAGAAUAACACUCACCUCUAACAGGUAAUGAAGUGCCCAGAUUACUUGUAAAUGAGUUAGUUUGAGUUAUUAUUAUUAUUAUUAUUAUUAUUAUUAUUAUUAUUAUUAUUAUUGUAAUAUUAUUAUUUAAUUUUUUUCGUAUUCUCAAAAUCCCAUUUCUAAAAAUUCGUAAACAUGGUUUCUC
rnacentral:lncRNA from 1 species